rnacentral:rRNA from 1 species
AUUGAACGCUGGCGGCAUGCCUUACACAUGCAAGUCGAACGGUAACGGGCCUUCGGGUGCCGACGAGUGGCGAACGGGUGAGUAAUACAUCGGAACGUGCCCGAUCGUGGGGGAUAACGAGGCGAAAGCUUUGCUAAUACCGCAUACGAUCUACGGAUGAAAGCAGGGGACCGCAAGGCCUUGCGCGGACGGAGCGGCCGAUGGCAGAUUAGGUAGUUGGUGGGAUAAAAGCUUACCAAGCCGACGAUCUGUAGCUGGUCUGAGAGGAUGAUCAGCCACACUGGGACUGAGACACGGCCCAGACUCCUACGGGAGGCAGCAGUGGGGAAUUUUGGACAAUGGGCGCAAGCCUGAUCCAGCCAUGCCGCGUGCAGGAUGAAGGCCUUCGGGUUGUAAACUGCUUUUGUACGGAACGAAAAGCCUUCUUUUAAUACAGGAGGGUCAUGACGGUACCGUAAGAAUAAGCACCGGCUAACUACAUG